GCUGGUGUGGCGGAAUGGCAGACGCACAGGACUUAAAAUCCUGAGUUCGAAAGGACGUGUGGGUUCGACUCCCACCACCAGCACCA
rnacentral:tRNA from 1 species